rnacentral:lncRNA from 1 species
AUCCUACCAUCUCAAAAGGAUAUAACAGACAAGAAGGCCAUCAACCCCAUUUCCCACCAUGGAAGAGAAGGACAGAAGAGAACACCAGUCACUUUUCCUAAGAACGUUUAACCACAGCAACUCUACACACUAAAAUCUGAACAAUUAGGUAAGUAUUUCUCUUUCUUGAGAAGGGGUGAAACAGGAUUUAAUACAAAGGAGGAGCAAAAAGAAUUCCAAGAACAAUGAACAAGAACUCAAGGCAACAGCUCUGCAAUAGGGCAAGAGCACAGUGAAACCAUACUGAGGCAGGA